rnacentral:rRNA from 1 species
GCAAGUCGAGGGGCAGCACGGGCUUCGGCCUGGUGGCGACCGGCGAAAGGGUGCGUAACACGUAUGCAACUUACCUUAUGCAGGGGCAUAGCUUUAAGAAAUUGAAAUUAAUACCCCAUAUAUUAUUUUUACUGCAUGGUAUAAAUAAGAAAACGAUUUAGUGGCAUAAGAUAGGCAUGCGCCUGAUUAGUUUGAUGGUAGGGUAAUGGCCUACCAUGACUACGAUCAGUAGGGGAUCUGAGAGGAUGACC